rnacentral:tRNA from 1 species
UCCUUGGUGGUCUAAUGGUUGGGACCCAGCUCUUUCACUGCUAGAGUCCCAGGUUUGAUCCCUGGCCUGGGAA